GUAUUCCGAAUUCAGUUUCCUAUAUUAUGAUCAUUGGUGAAUAAAAAAUGGGAAAAGAAGGAUGUGUGAAUUUUGAGCGUGUUAUUCGCUGGAAGAAAAUUACUGAUUCUAGGCUAAUUUCCUCCCAACUAAGAAGAAGACACACACGAUACCGGAAUGCCAUGAUGAAGACUAAAAGAAGCAGCGUCAGACUGAGCCCUUCGAGAACCAGCGAGAGCAUCAUCAAUCUCAGCCGGGUUUCUCCAUGAAUUUUCCGCCACGGUUUAGAAGGAAAAUUGGAAAAAAUCGUAUGCUUUGGCACGACAUGACCAACACAACAUCGCAGAGCCAUGAUACAAUGGUGCUUGACACGAAAAAGUUGAAGCAAACGCACAAGCCUCGGAACCGAAAUGGCAACUCGAUUCCCAGAUUCGGCGCUCGAGUGCAGCAAAGAGACUUCGAAAUCAACGAGAUUCGAUUCCCGAGCUCAGAUAUCGAGCGCCACCCUCGCGCAGAGCUGCAUACGACGCACCAAUUUGAGAUUGAAAGUGACUUCGACGUCAAUUCGUCGAGUCCAGACUAUGAACCGACCCCGAAGAGAGGAUACUAUCGCUUCGAUAAGCAGGAUACCGAAACUGCUUUCGGGCCACACCCAGCGAGCAUCGGGAGGUUCGAGUCAAGCUUCCAGGAGAGCGCGAACUUCAAAACACCCGAAUCUUUCGAGAAUUCCGAGCGGAAGUUGCAAAGCUGGAACUCAACGAUCGGCGAUGGGAGGAACCCUUGUGCGACCACAACGCGGUCGACUGCAGCUACUGUCAGCUCUUCUUUCGACCGGAGAAACGGGACGCUGCCAACAGCCGUGAGCAGCGACUCCAGCAGCUCCUCCACCGAAUCCUCUCCUGCGACCCUCGGGAAAGCUCCAAGCUCAAAGUUCAGCUCCCGCCGGUGAAGGGAAUCGCGAAAGAGGAAGAAGACUUCCUCACUCCGAUGCUUCUCAGCACGGCCUACUUCGACCAGAGGCAGAAGCCUAAACAUCGCUCGAAUCAGGCUCAUUUGAGACAGGUACAAGUCGUGUUUACUUCAAAUCCUCGCUCCUCUGACGUAAGAGCGUAUCUCAAUAUCUACGCGAGCCCUGUGCUCAGUGGCGUGGCGUGCUUUGCGAUGUAUCGAUUGUUCUGCCAUUUAAACCUA
rnacentral:lncRNA from 1 species